UGUGAGGCUUGAAGGAUUUGUCAUGUUAUAUUUGGCUUGUGGGAGCAGCAAUGUGUCAGUUAACAGGUAAUUGCUCUCCUACACGCAUAGUUGCACUGAGGAAGCUGUAAAACUUGCAGUGUGCUGAAAACUCCAG